GGACUGCGGUGCUCAUCAGACCUGAGCAGUUGCUCCGGCGGCGCUCGGGGAGGGAGCCAGCAGCCUGGGGCCCAGGCCCGGGCCACCAUGGCGCUGCCUUCGGGCCCAGCCGCCCUCCGGCACACACUGCUGCUCCUGCCAGCCCUUCUGAGCUCAGGUACACCCCUGUUCAGUCGUUGACCAAGUCCUUCUGGGGUCCAAAGUCCCCUCUCUCCCCUGUCUGCACUUCUGUUUGGGUACCCACUCCAGGCCCCAAGCCCUGGAGUCCCUGUUCCCUUCACCCACCUACCCUAGGUCCAACCAGCCAGUCCCUGGUAAGAGGACUCAGGCGCCCUUUCCCUUGGUCUGCUGCUCCUCUCACUGGGCCAAUUCCGGUCACAGCACAGUACCAGCCCUGCCUGAGCCCUUCCCAGAGCCCCCCUGCUGUGUUCCAGGUUGUGGGGAGUUGGAGCCACAAAUAGAUGGUCAGACCUGGGCUGAGCGGGCACUUCGGGAGAAUGAACGCCACGCCUUCACCUGCCGGGUGGCAGGGGGGCCUGGCACCCCCAGAUUGGCCUGGUAUCUGGAUGGACAGCUGCAGGAGGCCAACACCUCAAGACUGCUGAGCGUGGGAGGGGAGGCCUUCUCUGGAGGCACCAGCACCUUCACAGUCACA
rnacentral:sRNA from 1 species